rnacentral:rRNA from 1 species
AUGCGGAUCUCGAAAGCCUGUCCCAGUUCGGACUGGAGUCUGCAACCCGACUCCACGAAGUUGGAUUCGCUAGUAAUCGCGCAUCAGCCAUGGCGCGGUGAAUACGUUCCCGGGUCUUGUACACACCGCCCGUCACACCAUGGGAGUCGGAAAUGCCCGAAGUCUGUGACCCAACCUUAGGAAGGGAGCAGCCGAAGGCAGGUCGGAUGACUGGGGUGAAGUCGUAACAAGGUAUC